GAAAACAUAUAGUAUAACAAAUUUGACCUUUCGUUUCUUUUCAUUUCCUUUCAUAACGAGCUCUCACCCCUUUACUCAGAAAAGUUAUUGUCUAUCACUUGUAUGGGUUAAAAUUUGGCUGCACAAUCACGGCGAUAAUGAUCCGUUCCAACUACCUUAUGAAAGUAAUCGACAAGAUUGACUUCGUCUCAUCAUUUUUUUUAAUACAAGCGACGAAGUAAAGGCCUCUUUACGACGGGAAAAACUUCCCCCACCUGACCAUGAUAAAUCAUGACAAGCAUGAGAAGUCUUCGACUAUAAAAGCAAGAUGAAAGAGUUGAAAGAGAGCUCUAGCCUCCCCUGGCUUCUUCUCCAAUACUCCAAUAGCCUGAAAGAUGCAGCAGAGCUCCGUAAUAGAAUCCUUGAUCUACGGGAAAGGAGGGAAACUCCAUUGUGGCUCACCCAAGAGGGAAGCAAUACGAUUGUAAUUUCCUG
rnacentral:lncRNA from 1 species